AGUCAUCACCAUCUCCGAUCACUUCAGAAUCAUGGGGCUUCUCCAUUUCUCCAAAAUUCCCAAUGGUUUUGUUACACCAAAGGUAAUCUUCUUAAGCUCAUCCCACUUGCUUUCUGCAUAGGCUUAUCUAUUCUGUUACCCGUCUUCAACAACAAUGCGUCUUCAACCCAUAAGUAUAUCUCCUCUGUCACCUGUCUUCAACAACAAUGCGUCUUCAACCCAUCUUCAGCAAUGCAUCUUUAGCCUGUAAUUUUAUCUCCUCUGUCACCCGUCUUCAACAAUAAUGCUUUCAACCGUAAGCUUAUCUCCUCUGUCACCAGUCUUCAACAACAAUGCGUUCAACCGUAGGCUUAUCUCCUCUGUCACCAGUCUUCAACAACAAUGCGUCUUGCAUCUCCUCUAAUUGUCAGAAAAUAAAGCCAACCUUCUUACUUCGAUCCUCUGGAUCCAGAUCAAAAUUAGAAUCAGAAUAAUCAUCCACUGUUCAUCAAUGGGACACCUAUCAAAUGCCCGCUUCUGUCACUCCUAGAACAUGGUCCAGUAAUAACUAGACCUGUUGUUUAUAUUCCAACCCACACCAUCAGAUUCUGAUUUCUCUUCAUCCACUCCUCUCAUAAUCUCCUCUUCAUUCAAAACCUUAGACUGAUCAUCACUCUCUUCUUCUACAACAUCUAGCUCAUCAAUCUGAUCGUCAUUUCUGUUAUUGGAACCAUUGCCGUCUACAUCUUCUGGUAAAGGAUUGGCAACGAGUUCAUCAAGUUGGUUGGAGGAAUCUUGUGAGAAAUCUAGAUUUGGAAGAGAAGAAUCUCCUGCCCUAGUUUUGAAGAGGAGAAUGGGUGUACCUGGGACCGUCAGUCAAAGCUGAGUCGACUGUAGAGAAUUGAGACCGAGAGGGGGAGAAGGAGCACAAUGAUGAUGGUGCAAAGGCAAAGAGACGAAACAGGAGACUGGAGAUUGGAGUUUCCCCAUUUUCAAUCCAGUCGAAGAGACGAAAGAGAGAUUGCUAGAACUCCAAGCCUUCUUCCAUCGCCGAACAGAGAGCCGAACCAUUUUGUUUUAAUUGCCUCUGAAGCGGAAGAGUGAAACAGAAGAUUGUGAAGGCUUCCAUGAGUGGACUACCAGUCCUGGAUACACUGAAGUGGUUAACAGCCCCCUUCGUACACCAAUAUCAGGAAAAGGGGGCAGGGUAUACAGUAAGUCAAAGGUUCCAAAGCAUAGCAAAUCAGGGCCUCAAACCCCUGUGCCAAAUGCAGGUGAGAAGUGUCUCUACAAUAGUUUCUUUUUUGGCAUUAAUUCUCACUGUGGUUUCUUUUUUGGCAUUAAGUUGAUUCAGUCUUUCCUAUGGUACUUUGGAUUGCUCAAAGAAAAUUGAAAUCGAAUGAUUUUUUAAUUUCUCACCUUUCAAAACCUCCUUGUCAAAUAAAGCACUAAACUGGAUGUGCAUGUUUCUAACAAUUUUUUUCCACUGUUAUCUUUGAUUGGUAUUUGAGAUAUUGUUGUUGUAGACAUUACCAAUGAAUUAUAUGAUCAAAUUUCUUGCCAGUAGCCUCAAGAUACUUAAAGAAUUAACUAAAACAUAACUAAUAAACUAAUAUUGUCAUUAGGUGCUAGCAACAAGUAGGGAAAUGGCAAAAUGUUGCAACCAGUGAUAUAAUCUGUCAUAACUAAAUAGCUAAUAAACAUAACUGAGUGUUAUAUACUUCAAUGAUGACUAAUUAUUUCUUAUUUUUAUUUUCACCUGUGCAUUUGUGAAUUUUAUUUGGAUAUGGAACAUGAUUUACAUCUUUCUUUWUAUGUGCUUGAUUUYAAUAAUGGUUUUGAUGCCAUAAUAUUGGUCCAGAUGAUUAACCCAUUGAACAGAGGGUUGGUCUUAGAAUGAUGUUUAGUUUAAAGCAAAUAUUUUUCUCAUGUUUGAAUAUGUUGAUGCUAAGAUAAGUUCAAUUGAGAGGAAGCCCCAUGAAUCUGGUUGUGCAUGCCGGUUUUAUGUAAUAUGCUAUAGAGCCCAAGAACCUCACAACAUGGUGAAGAUGACACUUGGGGAAGAAAUCAGAGAAGUAAAACUUGAAAAUAUUGGUAUCUUACAAAAACUUCAGAGAAAACCUUCAGAAGAUGUCUACUAUCGUUGGAGCUAYUCUGAAGACURCUCCUUCAYGCGCAGAGCUAUACUACAUUGCGGUCAGUUCUCUUCUGAUAUAUCAUGGCUACUGGUUGCAUCCAUUUGGAAAGGACUUGGAUUUGAUGUCAAAACAGUGCAAAAUAAAAUGGUCUAUCAACUUCUUGAUAGUGAUCAUGACAUGUGUUCUCCAAGUUACUUGAACAAUGUAAAUACCAUAAACUUCCAAAUAGAUAAUGAAGUUAUGAAACCCAGUAAUAUGAACUUUUCCCCUGUGGUUGCUGUAAAUACAUUUGUUUCAAAUGAUCCUAUGGAUGUGGAUCUUGUUCAUGAUAUGAAAGAAGAUAAGCAUUUUCUCCAUAUAUGCACUUGGUAGCAGGUUGCCAAUGUGUGUAUAUGUUGAAAAUAUAUAAUUAGUGGAUGCUUUUGAGGUUCUUUUAACAGGGGCAGAAUUGGAAAUUUUGGCUGAUUCCAAUUCCACCUUCUAGUCGAACCAAACAGCAGGAAUCGGAAUCCGAUUCCGAUUCCUGCCUGAACCAAACAGAUGCCAGGAAUAGAUGAUUCCGAUUCUGAUUCUGGUCUUAUCCGCAAACCAAACGCACCCUAAGUUGGUUAUAGCUUGGCAGUUGUUUACACAAGUGGUGGAAGGUUCAAAUUACAUUAUAUGCACAUUAUUUUUACAAGAAGAAUAAAAAGCAAUUAAUCAUUUGAAGCCAUUUCACUAUGUUUGGGUUUUGAGUUUGACCAAACCACUUAGGUUCAAAUUGGCCAGACCAAUUUGAACUAUCUAAUUGGAAUUAUCUUUGAGCUAAUCACAUCAAGAGUGGUCAAACCAUUUGGAUUCGAUUGGUCCAAUCGGACCAAAUUGGACUAGUUCAACAUAUGACGAGUUGACUCAGAUCGAUCCAUAUCGGGUUGUGAAAAUCUUUGGGUCUGAGUCGACUGAUUCGAGUCGGGUCAAGGUGGGUAGUCCAAAUCGAUCCGGUUUUGGGUCAGAUCGACCGGUUUAUAUCGGGUUGUGUAGGUUUUUAGACAGAGUUGGUCGGUCUAUACUGGCCAAGUUAACCAGCUAGGCACCCCAGAUUAGAGCAGUCCAAAUUUGGGUGGGGUAGGAUUACCGGAUUCGGACUGGGCCGGAUCAAGCUUGGUUUGGGUUGCGCUAGCCAACCCAAACAGAUUAAACUGAGGUGAUUGGGUUUGUUCAUAUUCAAACUAGGCUGAACUGAGCCAGCUUGGUCCAGACUCGGGUUGGGUUGAUUUGGAUUUAUGUCAAUUUGGGUAGAGGUGUAAAUCGGGUUAGGCCAGCAUGGCCCGCACUGUCGUGUCAUGCCACCCGUGGCCCGCAGGCUAGCACGGCCCAACCCGCAGCGGGCCAUUCUCAACCUGUCCAAAGAACUAGCCAUUGGAGACACCGCCCCCCCCCCCCCGACUAGUUUCAACUUUUUUGUGGUGUUUUAUAGAAAUACCCCCUAACAACUAUAUAACAGUUGGUUUAGGGGGGGGGGUAUUUAGGUAAAGUGAUAAAUAACUUUAUAAUGACCAAAAUACCCCUCCCAACAACUAAAAGACAA